UCCAAUAGCGUGUACUAAAGUUGUUGCAGUUAAAAAACUCGUAGUUGAAUUUCGGGAUCAGUACGCUGGUCGUGCCUUCGGUAUGAACUGGUGUCACUGGUUCCUCCCUUCUGAAGAACCGUCAUGCCAUUCAGUUGGUGUGGCGGGGAAUCAGGACUGUUACUUUGAAAAAAUUAGAGUGUUUAAAGCAGGCUCGCGCUUGAAUACAUUAGCAUGGAAUAAUGAAAUAGGACGUUUGACCCUAUUUUGUUGGUUUCUAGGAUCGACGUAAUGAUUAAUAGGGAUAGUUGGGGGUAUUAGUAUUCAAUUGUCAGAGGUGAAAUUCUUGGAUUUAUUGAAGACUAUCUACUGCGAAAGCACUUGCCAAGUAUGUUUUCAUUAAUCAAGAACGAAAGUUAGGGGAUCGAAGACGAUCAGAUACCGUCGUAGUCUUAACCAUAAACCAUGCCGACUAGGGAUCGGAUGAUGUUAAUUUUUUAAUGACUCAUUCGGCGCCUUACGGGAAAC
rnacentral:rRNA from 1 species